UACGUAGGGUGCGAGCGUUAAUCGAAAUUACUGGGCGUAAAGCGUGCGCAGGCGGUUUUGUAAGCCAGAUGUGAAAGCCCCCGGGCUUAACCUGGGAAUGGCAUUUGGGACUGCAAGGCUUGAGUGCGGCAGAGGAGACUGGAAUUCCUGGUGUAGCAGUGAAAUGCGUAGAUAGUCAGGAGGAAUACCGGUGGCGAAGGCGGGUCUCUGGGCCGGCACUGACGCUGAAUAGCGAAGCGUGGUAGCGAACAGG
rnacentral:rRNA from 1 species